rnacentral:rRNA from 1 species
AAUGGGCGAAAGCCUGAUCCAGCUACGCCGCGUGUGUGAAGAAGGCCCUCGGGUCGUAAAGCACUGUCGGGAGGGACGAGCCUCGGGUCGACGGUACCUCGCAAGAAAGCACCGGCUAACUCCGUGCCAGCAGCCGCGGUAAUACGGAGGGUGCGAGCGUUGCUCGGAAUUACUGGGCGUAAAGCGGGCGCAGGCGGCACGUCAAGUCAGUUGUGAAAGCCCGGAGCUCAGCUCCGGAACUGCAGCUGAAACUGACGAGCUUGAGUACGAGAGAGGAGAGCGGAAUUCCUGGUGUAGAGGUGAAAUUCGUAGAUAUCAGGAGGAACAUCAGCGGCGAAGGCGGCUCUCUGGCUCGAUACUGACGCUCAUGCCCGAAAGCGUGGGGAGCAAACAGGAUU